UAUCCUUGGUUUCCGGCAAAAAUGACACCCUCAGCCGGAGCAUAUUGAUGA
rfam:Citrobacter rodentium ICC168, complete genome